rnacentral:rRNA from 1 species
GACGAACGCUGGCGGCGUGCUUAACACAUGCAAGUCGAACGGAAAGGCCCUGCUUGCAGGGUACUCGAGUGGCGAACGGGUGAGUAACACGUGGGUGAUCUGCCCUGCACUUCGGGAUAAGCCUGUUCAACUGGGUCUAAUACCGGAUAGGAGCCAUUUUUAGUGUGAUGGUUGGAAAGUUUUUUCGGUUUAGGCUGAGCUCGCGGCCUAACAGCUUGUUGGUGGGGUAAUGGCCUACCAAGGCGGCUUCGGGUAGCCGGCCUGAGAGGGUGGACGGCCACACUGGGACUGAGAUGCGGCACCGGUUCCUAAGGGAGGGAGAAGGGGGGAAGAUUGAACGAUGGGCGCAGGCCUGAUGAAGCGACGCUGCGUGGGGGAUGACGCUCUUAGGGUUGAAAAAUAAGUGCGCUAGGGACGAUGCUUUUUGUGACGGUACCUAGAUAAGAAGCCCCGGCUAACUACGUG